GCGAGGAGCGCCCUAGGGUAACACUGGUAAUUGGGGCUAAGUCGUAACAAGGUAGCCGUACCGGAAGGUGCGGCUGGAACACCUCCUUUCUGGAG
rnacentral:rRNA from 1 species